rnacentral:rRNA from 1 species
GACAGAGGUGCCGAGCGUUAGGCGGAAUCACUGGGCUUAAAGCGUGUGUAGGCGGGUGCCUAAGUACCUUGUGAAAUCCCACGGCUCAACCCUGGGCCUGCAUUCGAUACGGGCAGACUAGAGUAUGGCAGGGGAGACUGGAAUUCCUGGUGUAGCGGUGAAAUGCGCAGAUAUCAGGAGGAACACCGGUGGCGAAGGCGGGUCUCUGGGCCAAAACUGACGCUGAGGAGCGAAAGCGUGGGGAGCGAACAGG